rnacentral:rRNA from 1 species
UACCAGCUCUCCGAGUGGUGUGGAUGUUUAUUGGGCCUAAAGCAUCCGUAGCUGGCUGGACAAGUCCCCUGUUAAAUCCACCGAUUUAAUCGUUGGUGUGCGGGGGAUACUGUUCGGCUAGGGGACGGGAGAGGCAGACGGUAUUUUCGGGGUAGGGGUGAAAUCCUAUAAUCCCGGGAAGACCACCAGUGGCGAAGGCUGUCUGCUAGAACGCGCCCGACGGUGAGGGAUGAAAGCGUGGGGGAGCGAACCGGAUUAGAUACCCGGGUAGUCCCAGCUGUAAACGAUGCAGGCUGGGUGUUUGGGCGGCCACGUGCCGCUCUAGUGCCGCAGGGAAGUCGUUAAGCCUGCCGCCUGGGGAGUACGGCCGCAAGGCUGAAACUUAAAGGAAUUGGCGGGGGAGCACCACGAAGGGGUGAAGCUUGCGGUUU